UUGGGUAAUCUUAGUAGAUUUAUUUGACAUUUUGUUGUCAAAAUUUAAAUUCAAUGAAGCUAUUUUAAGGUAUAUCCACACUAAAGAAGCACAGGGGAUUCUGUUCCUGAUUGCCGUAACCUGUUUAGGAAGCAGAAACAAUAACAAAUUUAUCAUAAACAUUUUAUCCACACCAACAAACCCAUUUUAGUCGCUCAUAACUGUGUUGCCGCAACAAGAAACUUUCCAUCUACAUCAGGAAAAGAAAAUUCGUAAAUGUUGGACUACUAAAAGGCACUCUUUUAGAAAGAAAUACGCAUGGUAUCAUGCGCCUUAUGAGUCCAUUAACGAAAGAUUAUUUAAUAGUAGAAUCCAGGAUCAACAAUGGAAAUAUAAAGAACUUUAGUCGUAGGAAAACCAUUUGCUAAUAAAAUAUAUUCCAACAACAGAU